rnacentral:piRNA from 1 species
UCUCCAUAAAGUCCUGCCUUGGAAAGGAAAGC